GUAGUUCCCAGGCCGGUGUUCCCGUAUGGUAAGGUACUCAUUACUGUUCUGGAAAGGUUUAGAUUUUUAUUCCAACCGUAUUCUUUUGUUAGAGAAUGUACGAAAUUAACGACAAGUGAGAGUACACAUAAAGUCUAUUUUCUUAUUGCUUAAUCUUAUGAGGAUGUUACCUGCUGUUCCUAGCCAUCAAUGAUGUAGGGAUAAAAAAUACAUGACGUUAAAGGGUAGGUGCAUUGGCUUUCAGCUUAUCAGUUUUUAAGCUCUGACACCGACCCAGACUCCAGCCUGUCCAGUGCAAUGGGGUCCACGUACUGUUCCCCGCUGACCCACGCGGGCUUGAAACAACUAUCAGCAGCUAUUUUGCACCAAGUACAGGUUAAAUGGACUCCACUUUCUCCGCUAUCCGUUUCUUACUUACAGUUAUACGUUUGUUAAUCCAUUUAUUUUCCUUGAUAUGAUGGAGGCGAAGGGGAAUUCCCUGAAAAACAUCACCUAUUUGUUUUAGAUGCAAUUACGGUUCCAGUCAUCAAAACUUGGGAGAUCAGGAUAAUUCAUACACCAUGCAUUGCCUUGUUUUUAAAUGCACAAUUUACUAACUUUUCAUAUAUAUGUAUAUAUGUGUGUAUAUAUGUGUGUAUAUAAGUGUGUAUAUAUGUGCGUAUAUGUGUGUAUAUAUGUGUAUAUAUGUGUGUGUAUAUAUGUAUGUGUGUAUAUAUGUGUGUGUGUACGUAUGUAUGUGUGUGUGUAUAUAUAUAUGUAAUCCUGACGUAAGUGGACUUUGCGUCUAGCUUCUUUUGCUUAUAAUAACGGUUUUGCUUCCAAGGUCGUAGUAUAAUAUCAGUACAGUUAGCCCUUUGUACUAGUGGAUUCUGAAUCCCUAGACAUCUGUAGAUUCAACCAACCACAGAUCAAAAAUAUUCAGGAAAAAUAAAUGAAUGGUUGCAUCUGCGCCAAACGUGUACAGACUUUUGUCUUGUCCAUAUUCCCUAAGCAAUAUAGCAACUAUUUACAUAGCAGUUACUUUGUAUUAGAUAUUAUAAGUAAUAUAUAAAUGAUUUAAAAUAUACAGAAGGAGGUGCAUCGGUUAUGUGCAAAUACUACAUCUUUUUGUCAGGGGAUUGGAAGGACAGAGUCUGACCCUGUCACCUAUCCUGAGUGUGACAUACAGUCUUGGCUCAUUGCCACCUCUGUUUCUGACGCUCAACCAAUCCUUCUGCCUCACCGUGUAGCUUGGACUACAAGCUCACCAUCAUGGCAGGCUAAUUUUUGUACCUUUUUUUGGUAGACACAGGUUUUCACCAUGUUACCCAGGCUACACAUUUAUAUCAGGGACAUGAGCAACUAUGUAUUUUGGUAUCUUGUGGACGGGUGCUCCUGGAAACCAGUCUCCCUGGAAACCACAAGACAACUGGACUUCAUUUAUUUUACAGCUCUAAUAUUUCAUUGAUUGGAUAUACAUUUUGUUUACUUUUCCAUCAGUAAACAGUUGAGUUGUUUCCACUUGUUGACUAUUUUGUAUAGUGGUGCUUUGAACAUUCAUGUGCAAGUAUUUGUUUGAGUAUAUGUUUUGAAUUGUUUGGAAUUGCUGGAUCGUGUAGUAAUUUGAUGUUUAAUUUGUUUGAAGAACUGACAAAUGUUUUCCACAGCAGCUGCACAAUUUUAUAUGCCUACCAACAACAUAUAAAAAUUCUAAUUUCUCUACAUCUUCACCAUACUUGCUUUUCCCAUCUGUUUGAUUAGCCAUUUCACUGAGUGUGAUUAUCUUGCUGUAGCUUUACACUUUAUAGUUGUUAUUUUAAUUGACAAAAUCAUAAUUGUGUAUAUAUAAUUGUAGUUUUAAUGUACAUUUCCUUAUAGGUUAAUGACAUUGAGCAUCCUUUUCUGUGCUUAUUAGUCAUUUAUAUGUCUUCUUUGGGAAAAUGCCUAUUCAAAUCUUUUGGCUUUUUAAUAUUUGAGUUGUUGGUCUUUUUCUAUUGACACUUAAGAUUUCCUUAUACAUUCUGAUAUAAAUCCCUUGGUAGAUAUGGUUUGCAAAUACUUUCUCUUAUUCUCUGACUUUCCUUUUUACUUUCUUCAUGGUAUCCAUUGCCUCAUAAAAGUUUUUAGUUCAACAUAUCCAGUUUUUAUUUUGCCCUUGUACUUUUGAUGUCACAUGUUAGAAGCCAUUGGCUAAUCCUAGUACAUGAUGAUUUAGGACUAUUUAUUUAUCUAAAAGUUCCAUAAUUUUAGUUCUUACAUUUAUAACUUUGAACCAUCUUAAAUUAAUUUGGUAGGAUCCAACUUUAUUCUUUAGUUGUUGAUAUUUGUUAUCCUAACACCAUUUGUUUAAGGCUACUCCUUCCUGCACUGAAUAGUUUUCUCACCUUUGUGAAAAUCAGCUCAUCACAGAUGUCAGAGCUCAAUUCUAGACUAUGAAUUUUACUCUAUUCACCUAUAAUCCUGUCCUUACACCAGUACCACACUGUUUUUAUUAUUGUCAUUUUGUAGCCGGUUUGGAAAUUGGGAAGCCUAAUUCGUUCAACUAUAUUUUCAAGAUUGAUCUUGGUUUCUGGGUUUCUUAAAACUUCAUAUAUUGGGAGGCUGAGGGGGGUGGAUCACAAGAUCGGGAAUUCAAGACUAGCCUGACCAACAUGGUGAAACCCCAUCACUACUAAAAAUACAAAAAUUAGCUGGGCGUGGUGGCGCAUGCCUGUAAUCCAGCUACUCAGGAGGCUGAGGCAGGAGAAUCACUUGAACCCGGGAGGCGGAUGUUGCAGUGAGCUGAGAUCGCACCACUGCACUCCAGCCUGGGUGACAGAGCAAGACACCAUCUCAAAAAAAAAAAUCAUAUGAAUUUUCAGGUUAUCUGUUCAUUUCUAGGAAAAUAACACAAACAAAAAGCUGGUUGCAAUGUUGACAGAGAUCUCAUUGAAGUUGUAGAUUAGUUUGGGGACAAUUGGCAUUUUAAUGUUAUUAAUUUUUCCAAUCCAUAAAUACAGAUACCUUUCCAUUUUUCCUUAGGUUAAUUUCUUUUAACAUUAUUUGUAGUUUUCUGGUACAAAUCUUAUAUUUCUUUUGUUAGAUUUGUUAUAUGUAUUCAUUAUUUUAAUGAUAUAAAUUGUGUUAUUUUCACUUUUGAAUUAUUCAUUACUAAUGUAUGGAAAUACAACUGGGUUUUAUAUGUUGAUAUUAUUUGCCUCAACGUUUCAGAAUUGACUUAUUAGCUUUGAUAGAUAGGUGGUGUAUGUGUUUCCUAGUAUUUGCUAUAUGCAAGAUCUUGCAAAUACAGCCAUCUUCCACAUAACACUUCAGUCAACAACAGGACUACAUAGACAAUGGUGGCCUCAUCAUAUUAUAAUAAUUUUACUGCACCUUUUUAUGUGUAAGUGUGUUUAAGUAAACAAAUGUUUACCAUUGUGUCCUAAUUGCCUACAGUAUUUAGUUUAGCAACAUGCUGCACAGGUUUGUAGCCUGAGAGCAAUAGGCUAUAUCAUAUAGCCUAGGUGUGUGGUAAGCUAAACUAUCCAGGUUUCUGUGGGUACAGUCUAUGAUAUUUGCACAAUGACAAAAUCACCUACAUAUGCCAUUCUUAGAAUGUAUCUCUGUUGUUAAAUCACCUAUGCAUGCCAUUCUCAGAAUGUAUCUCUGUUGUUAAGUGACACAUGAGUAUAUACUAUUACAUCUUCCUUUGCAAUCUGGAUACUAACAGUUGUACUGUUUCUCAACUGUUGUGUCCUCAGCAUUGGGAGGAUGUUUUGAGCCAAAUAACUUGGGCCCAGCUUUCCAAAGUAAAACUAAUCUACUAACUGAAGAAACCUUAGGGCUGGAUAUUCAGCCCUUAAUUUGUAAAAGGAUAUUUGCAUAGCCCUUUGCUGGGUGAAGGAGAAGUAAGGGAAAGACUUCCAAAGGUCAGUUUCCCAGCCAGAUUACUGAGGAAUUCCAAUUGCUAAUGACCACAGGGUGGGCGACACAGUGGUACACUGGGUACACUGCCAGCUGACACUGGCCACACCUACACAGCAUCUCUGAAUGCAUGUGGUUAAAAUUUCCUGGUGAAUUUAGGAUCCAAAAAAGAAUUCUAGGUCUUCUGUCCAGGUAGAAGCAUCUAGUUCUGGCUUGUUGACUCUGUCCCUGCUUCAUCUUAUAUUUCUACCUCAUGCGCAUAUACAAUCAAAUGUGUUGAGUCUGGGAAGAGUAGAGAAAAGGUGGUACAAUGCCUGUCUCCCUAGGUGCAGUGGGUUAGCAGACCCUCUGGACAUGCGACCAGAUCAGAGACCAGGCCUAUGCGUCCACCAAAUAGGUGAUGGCGAUUGUUCAGGAUUUGUGCUCUGUGCUUGGUAUUUCAUCUUACUACAGAGGACAGACGAAAGAGCUGUGUAUUGGAGCCUGCAGAUGGAUGGGGAUGGAUAUGACAGUAGAUUUCUUCUUCUGAGAAUACACUUUCAACCUCUUGUUAACACAAUGGCAGUCUUUGCUCUUCACUUCCUGAGCUGACCCUGUGAGCAUUACCUAAUGCUUUCCUGAGCCUCUAGUUGCUUUGUAGUCAGUGAAGGAGAUGGCUUUCACCCUUAACGUCUCCAAAAGUAACUUUAGUUCCCAAAUACUUACUAAUUUGCAUUGGUUUCGGGUAGGCUGGACUCACACACCAUCUCUGCAGUGCAAUGCCAUGUUCACUUCUGAAAUCCCAAAACCCGAAAGGAUGGAUUCCCACUGAGACCUAUAGAGGAAAGCUGCUGAAGAGAAAGGACAGCAGAGAUACAAUUGCCUAUGUUGAGAGAUGCUCUUGAGUCCCAUAACAUACAACCUACCAGUUUUCUGCAACCCGAAAGCCCAGGGCUGGCACUAUAAUCUUAACUAGUCACUACAUAAGGCUUUUGUUUUUAUGAUGUCUAUCCAUAGUUAUAGUUCUUCAUUCCACAGAUGCGGAAAAACUGUGUUAUCCUUGAGAAUUUGAUAUCUCAGGACUGUGCAAUGUGGAUGUCCUCUGUCUCCCAGUAUGGUGUCCCACUCUGAUGGUAGACUGACAUCCAGCACCAUACAGCUGAGUUUACCCAGCCCAGGCAAAAACCUCAAAAAAUUGAAAAAAUAAAAUAAAAAUCAAAAUAAAAUAGUAGAGAAACAAUUUUUUUUUUAGGCAAAAAGUAUUAUCACCUAAAUUAACAACAGUCCUCAUCUUAUUCUCCACAGGAAAAAUAUCUAAACACAGGACCCUGCCUGCCCAGUGACUAAUCUUACUGACCCUCCUAGAUUUAACUAGGCUCACAGAUUCCUAAAAUUCUUCCAGUAUAAGAAGAGAUCAGCCUGCAGAAAUGCUUUAAAAUUGUUCCGAGGUUUAGAUACAAAAUUAAUCAGGUAAAGUGAGAGAAUGGAAGAUUUUAAGAGACAAUUCCUUCAGAUGAAAUAUUGGGCUGUGCAAAGGAGCUGCCUAAAACAUGACCUGCUUGAGGUGCUAGUGUUAUUUCAGCCUCAGUAGGAAGAUCUCAGAAGAUCUCACUUAUUAGCAUUUGCUAAAUGACAUUGACCUGCAGCAUAGGUGGGAGCAAAAAGAGGCAGUUUCACCUGGCUGCUAGCCCCAAUUCAAUAAGAAAUAUUUAUUACCAAACUGAAAUUCUUCUGAGAAAUCUCCUAAUCUGUAAUGUGGGAACAAUAACACCAGCUUGUGUACCUCACACAAGUUUCAGAAGAUAGAACAUGUUCAAGUGCUGUGCAUAUGUGUCCUAAUAAUUCACUGUAAUAAAAAUUGGGUCACCCCAUUCUAGAAAAGACACUCAUUUGCUGAUUUAUUUUAUAAGUAAAGGUCAGCUCUUCUACAAAUCCAUGUAGGAAUGUAGGAGAAAAAGAGAAACUAAUAUUUUGUAUUUCUGUUUCUUUCACUUCAAAUUGCAUUUUGUAACUAAUGUAAAAACUUUACAAGUGCUAUAAGAUCAUUGGGAAUAAACAAAAAAAUUCAGAGAUACCUCUUGUGGAAACUAAGCAAUGAUGAGCUCAUACUCUGUAGUUACCAGAGAGUCUCUCCCUUCAUUGUCUUGAACUAUUUCACAACUUUAUAAAUUGCAGGUAACUUAUAGCAAUGCAAAAUAAUUCUUGUUUAUUGAUAUACAAAUGAAUUAUGUGCAGUGACAUUUCUAGGGACUUCUCUCAAUCUGCACUGGGUUUAAUCCUGUUUCUGAAAACUUAGUAUCUACCUGGAAUCUCAGAAUGUGCUCUUAUUUGGAAAUAAAAUGAUGGCAAAUAUAAUUAAGUGAAAAUGAGGUCAUCCUGGAGUAAGGAGGUCCCUAAGUCCAAAGACUGUUUUUCUUAAUAAGAAGGCCAUGUAAAAAUGAGGGCAGACAUUGUAGUGACGCAACUUCAAGUAAAAAUACUAAAGACUACCGGCAAACAUCAGAAGUUAGGAGAGAUAGGAAACAGAUUUUUCUCAGAACUCACAGAGGAACCAACUUGGCAACACCUUGAUUUCAGAAUUCUAACCUCUAGGACUGUGAGACAAGAAAGUUUUUCUGUAUUAAGCCACCCGGUUUAUGGUGAUUUCCUAUAGCAGCUCUAGAUAAAAGCACAUUGACACCAUUUACAAAUUUCAUUUAUAUAAUUUCACCAUUCCUAUACUUCAUGUUAAAACUGAGCUUCAUUAACUUUUUUAAACUGCUUAUAACAUGUUACUGAUUUUUUCAUUUAUAAUUUAUUAAAUAAAUUUUAAUGUUUUAUGUUAAAUAAAAUUUUAAUAUGUAUUUUUUGUAUAUUUGUAUGAGCCAUGAUUUUAUCCAACCACAUUUGCAAAAAAUAUAACAAUGAGAAAAUUAUAACAGUAACAGAGAACUGAUCUAACCGUCUUGCCCUUAACCUACCUACUGCCCUUGUUCAUUCCUGGGCAUAAACUAACCUAACUUUGAGAAAAAUUUAGUCUAUAGUUUAAAGGAGAAUAGUCCUUCCCAAAACUAAAUCACCUUUGUAAAACAAUGAAAGACCACCAGGUUAGGACAAUGAGAGGGGCGUGAUCCUGCUAAGAUGUAGAUGUAGUUAAAUGAUUACUGGUCAUUAUUCUGGAGUUGCAAAUUCCCCAAUUACUCCUGUAAUUAACAUCACUUUUGUAGAACUUAAGACUGGCCUUUUGAUGUGUUUUUUCAAGUUUUGUCAUUUUUAACUACCAAAUGGCCCAACUAGACAGGCGACUCUAGACUCAGCCAGUCCUGUUUCUGCCUACCAGAAUUGAACUCAGCACAAGAGGACCACUUUCCACAUCCCUGUGAUUCCAUACCCAACCUAUCAGAAGCACCCAUUCCCUAGCCCCCACCUGCCAAACUGUCUUUGAUAAACCCUAGCCUCCAAGUUGAUAGGAAGGCUGAGUAAUAAUAAAACCCUAGGCUCCUAUUUAGCCAGCUCUAUGUGUAUUUAAUCUCUUCCUCUAUUGCAAUUCACCUACUGAAAAAUCAGCUGUCUCUGGGCUCUGGACAAAAUGAACCCAUUGGGUGGUUACAUCAAGAGUUGGAGGUUAAAAGAAAGAAAAAAGAGCAUCUCAGUGUUGUCAAAACUCAUUUUUGAAAAGAAACCCUUGUGAAGAAUAUUAAUGUAAAGUAGCUUUUUGAUUAUGUACUCUUCUGUUAUUCUGGAGAUCAGAUGCUGGUGUGUGUGUCCACUAUUUCCUGCUCUGGAUCCCUGAACUGUCUCUGACUCAUUCUUGGUCGGCUAAGUAUGAGGUCUCACUCUGUCAUGCAUGAUGGACUGCAGUGGUGCAAUCAUGGCUCACUGUAGCUUCGACCACCCUGGCUCCGGUCAUCAUCCUACCUCAGCCUCCCAGGUAUGUGGGAUUACAGUGGUGUCAGUCAUCAACCUUGUGAUCACUGAGGAAAAGAUACAAUAAUCCUUGCCUAUCCGUGAGUUCUGUCUAUAUGUAUUCAACCAAGUUUAGAUUGAAAAUAUUUUGGGGAAAAAUGGAAGGGUGCACCUGUACUGAACAUGUUCCAACAUUUUCUUGUCAUUGUUACUUAAAUAAUACAGUAUAACAACUAUUUACAUAGCAUUUACACUGCUUUAGUAAUUAUAAAUAAUCUAGGGAUGAUUUAUUUAGAUAGUCUAGGAAUGAUUUAAAUAAUCGAGGAUGGUGAUAUAUGGGAGGAUGUACAUAGGUUAUACAUAAAUACUACACCAUUUUAUAUCAGGGUCUCAAACAUUCAUGUACUUUGGUAUCCAACAGGGAUUCUGGAAUCAAUCCUCCACAGAUAGCAAGGGAUAACUGUAUUAGUUUUUCUUUUCUACACUGUUUAAUGGAUGCUGCACCCUUCCUACUCUAGGACCCAACCAGGAUCCUGAGCCCUCACUUUCUCCCUGCGUUCCUCAUGAUCCAUUUGACUAUAAUGCAGAAAGUUUGUUUAGCUACUGGCUGGUAUCUGUAACUCCUAUGACAGCUCACACUCCUUGAAGAAGAAGAGAGAAAACAGAAGACUUGUCCUGUGGAUAGAUUAUUUCUUCUUCUGUUUGUUUGUUCUUUGUAUGCUCUCGACAACAUCCACAUACACAAAUGCACAUACAUAAACACAGAAACUUUUUCUUAACAUGGACAAUCUGAAAGAGAAAGCAGCACAACAACCAUUUUGGAUGAUCGAGACUAUUUUUAUAUUAUUACAGUACAAUUGCAGAAUGAAUUCAAAAGGGCAAGCCCCUAGCAAUGAUAAUGCUAAAUGGCUGGUGGAUGUAAAUAAUUAGUGGUCAAUAUAUUAUCCAUGAUAUGUGGCAAGUUUGAAAGUUGGAAAUGCAGAAUCCCUGUUCUGGUCAUAUUAUUGUACUUGGAUCUGCUGGGAACCAUUUGAUACUCUGGGAUUCUCAUUGAGAAUCCAGUGAUAGCUAAUGUUGAAUAUUGCUUGCUGCUGGGCAACAGUGACUGUCAAAACAUUCCGUCACCACUUUUUUUUUUCAGUUUAGAAAAAGGGUCUUGGAUGUUGCCUAGGCUGGCCGGAAACUCCUGAAGUCAAGUGAUUCUCCUGUCUUUGCCUUUAGUUCUGGAAGUACUGGGAGUGAACCUCUGCACCAGGAUUUCCCUCACCAUUUUCUGUAAAAUGGCUUACUACAAAGAACAUUUCUGUAGUAUAUUUUUAUGUAUGUAUGUAUUAUGUAUUUAUUUAUUUAUUUAUUUUUGAGACAGAGUCACAAUGCUGCCCAGGCCCUAGUGCAGUGGUGUGAUCUUAGCUUACUGCAACAUCUGCUUCUGUGUUCAAGAGAUUCUCCUGCCUUAGCCUGUGGAGUAGCUGGAAUUACAGGUGCACACCACCAAGCCCGGCUAAUUUUUAUCUUCUUUGGUAGAGACCGUGUACACACACACACACACACACACACACACACACACAUUUAGGUAGAUACGAGGUCUCGCUCACAGCAGCUUCAGCAAACACAGAUUUCUGGUGUUGGAGGACAGAUUUAACUACAGAAAAUUCUGUUGGGCAAUCGGAAGCCUCAAUCUAUACAGACUUUUAGGAGGAGCCUGCCUGUUUGGUUCAAAUUUAGCCAAAAUAUUUUUUUUUUACCACUGAUUCAGUAAAUCUCCUAACUUUGCAGGAACUGGGAUCCUAAAAAUUAUGGAACGAAUUGUAGAAACUCAAGCAACUUUCUCCAAAGCCUAGGGUUCAGCAAGAGUAAGCAAGAGGCACUGAGCCGCUGGAGUCUGCACAUUGAUAAAUUUACUUACAGUCGUAAAUAAAUUGCAUCAUCUUCAGCUAGUAACACAGAGUCUAAUUUUUAUAGCGGCAUACUUGCCUCCACGACUUUCCUAGACACCAGAAAGAAAGGCGAGAGCCAGCCUUAGCCUAAUCAAGAACCAUGAUCCAAAAAGGAGUGGGAGGAACCUAGCGGCCACGUGGGAAUCCCAGCCCUCCUAUUAAGCCUACCCUCUUUGCAAAUUGUGACUGUGAGCUCCUGGUUUACAGAAAUAUAUCCCAGAACUCAAGCAACAUGAGCCACUAUAAUUGUCUCUGGAAGGUGACCCAUUUGCAGAUAGGGACUUCCCUGAAGGUUGGGGCCCUCAUGAGCUAUGCUUUCCACCAAGUUGUCUCUAUAAGGACCAGUUCCAGGACCUCAGGGAGGAAAUUUCACUUUCUGCCUUGGUGGAAUGUGAAGUGAGUGGCUCCCCGGCCACACCCCACCCUCCAUAAAAUAGAAGGUAAAUCCCAACUGCCAAAAGCUUUUUGUCCUCCUCUCAGGGAUACUAAUUAAAGCAGUUGGGCUACUUUUUCAUGCAUUUCAUCUCAAGUUGUCUUUCUGCCUAUCUCCUGAGCCCAGCGAAAGAGUUCCUUAAAAUAACCCUCAAACCUCUGUAGUAAAGGACCACACAAAUAACGAAUGCCAUGAAAAAACAGGGCUAGAGGUUUCAGAGGAUGAGAAAGGAAGAGCAGCCAGAACACUGGCUGUCUAGGUAUGCUACUGGUGCCUGACUCUGCACCUGUGUGUGUCUGUGUGCUGUGUUCCAAUGGCAGAGCAUCGGGGCCACCAGAACUCUCUCAGCUACCGCACAUGGAGAGGGAGGAGUGAUAAAGAGAAAUCAAGAAACUCAGUUUCUUUGAAAUGGAAAUCAAUAAACUCAGUUUCCUCAAAGUUCAAAAUACAUGAGACUGCCUACCCUCCUUGGAAGGCAAGGUGGGGCUUUCUGAAGCAAAUACCAGCUUUAAAAAAAAAUGUAUAUAUAUAUGAAGAUAUAUACAAAAAAAAAAUUUCCCCACAACCAGACAAUCAGAAUCAUCAAACCCAGAAGGGUUAAAGAAAAAGAAAAGGCCCAGGAAAGUAUGAUUGGUGGGGAUCAAAAGUAUCUCUCCACAGUGGUAAAUGAGAAUUCUCAAAAAGAGUAAAAUUAUAAUUCUCAUGCACAUAUAAAAUAAAUAUGUAUUACAGAUUUUACUUAAACCAUAUAGCUCAAAAUUAGCUAACAAGGAAGACAUUAUAACCUGUUCAAAGAGAAGCCAAAGAAGGGAAAUUUAUAUGCUGUAAAGAAAUAUUUAAAGGAAUAUGGCAAAACUGACUCUUAAUAGGAGAUGCCCUAUGUGGUACAUAAUUUGUUUGUGUAUCUACACACAUGAAUUAUUUUGCACUUGUAUCACUAUCUACAACUUACACUGUUGUAAAGUAACUCCCACACAAUCAGAAUCAUAUAACCCAAAAAGGUAUCUUCCCUAACCAAACAAGGUUUUCCAAUAAAGCACUAUUUUGUCUCACAUUGCCAUA